UUUUCUUUGUUUGGUAUAAUGAGUGGUUAUUUCGUAUCCGAUUUCACGGGUGCACUUAAGUGGAGUUAAAAGGUGCCGAUCUAUGCGUCUCCUCUGGAAACCUCCAGAUCUCCACCGCCUCCGACCUCCACCGCUUCCCAAAAAAAACACAGCCUAAGCCCCAGCCUGUCUCUCCAUCGAUCCUCGCGUCAUGGCGUGUAUGCCGCGGCCUGCGUCGCCGUUCCCUCUCCCAGCAGGGUCCAUCGCCGUCAGGCCACCCGCCAGGCCGCCAUCUGCGGACCGCAUCGACGCCCAUCGCCGUCAGGCCACCCGCCAGGCCGCCAUCUGCUGACCGCAUCGACGCCGUCGUCGAGGCGGUUGGAAGCGCGGAUGAGUUUAUUGGGAGGAGUUGAUUGCAGCUAAUCCUCUAGAUUUUUCUGCAUGUGGUGCAGCCCAAGGCAGGGAGUUUAUUGGGACGAGCUGAUUCCGUCUAAUUUUCUAGAUUUUCCUGGACAUGAUGGAGCCUGCAGGAGGAGGUCAGCCUCAGCGGCUGCAAGUUGGAGCCCGGGCUACUGCCUGCGCGUUCGAGUCUUGCGUGGUGCCAGCUGCGGCGAUUACGUUGACGGCUUCCAUUCUUCGCGCCCAAUAGAAGUAGCAGCAAGAUGGACGGGACCUCCAUCCUAGGGAAUACUACCGACUACAUGGAGCAGCUAGAGAUGCUCCGGCUUCCUGACCCCUGAUCCCGCCGGCUGGUUCGCCAUGUUCCCGUUUGAUGAUCAGAAGCCCCGCCGCCUACUCCGGAUUCGUGAGCUCAGAGGACCAUGGCUGCAGAGGAAAUCAUACUGGAGCGGCGCACACAUGGAGGGGGUCUGGCAGUGGCUGCCCACAGGGCCGGUACUCCAUGAGCGGCUGCUCCAUGCUAGGCCAUGGAUAUACCUUGAGAGUUGUUGCGCUGUGCUUGGUCGCCGCGGCUCGGCCAUGAGUCUAGAGGUGACCAAGCCAUCGAUUGGAUGGGGCAAAAUGCCCUUUCCCAAUCCCUUAUAGCAAAGGACACGAUAGGUUUUGCGGUCUCCCAAAAGAUCAUCUCUGCAGAGUCUCAACUACAUACCAAACUAUGUAUCUAAGCUGUUUCACCGCUGUUUCAGUAUGUUACUGUGGUUCUGUUAAGCUUUUUAAUUCUACGGUCUCUCCUGAAGAGAGGCAGGAUCUAGCGGUGUUUGCAUAGUGGGUUCUCAAUGCAAGAACGGAAUUGUACUAAUCACUCCCAAAGGAGGGAAGCUACCCCUUCUUAGAUUUUUAUACCACCCAAUAUGAUAUUGUAACCUGAUUCUCGCCAUGUUUCUGCUAUUGUUAAUGCAAUAUAUGAUUAAUUUUCUGGAAAUUAUUCCGAUCCAUCUUAUCUGGCACAGCGUGCUAUAGGUUGUCCUACUAAUAAUGUAGCCAAUGCCAUAAAUGGUGUGGUUUCCUCUAGAAAUUGACAAGAUAUAUACUUAAUGGAGAUUAAGUACUGUACCAGUAUUUGAGAUUUUGAAUGAUCUUCCAUGACAUAUUCCCUGAUGGAGAUUAACCACUGUACUGUAUUUCAGAUUCUCAACCAUCUGCUUGCUACCGUUCAGAUAACGUUUUCCUUUGCUUGAAGGUGAGCUGAUUCUAACUUUGACCUCAAGCUGCUCCCGCCCUUGAGAGGUGAAUUGUCAUUUCUAUAGGGUUCACAAGUAAUUUGUUCAACUAUAAUACAGUAGCCAGUGCAUGAGACAGAGAUAAGGCAUCACUGCAUCAGCUACAGUUUUUUUGUGUCGUACACACGAAUUAAAGGGCCAUGUUUCAAAGUAUUACUCCAGUGUUCAACUACGGGCUGAUUUCAAGAUGGUUUUUGCCUGCAACAGGACAGAACUUGCUAUUUUCAGGUCAAGCGCUACGUCAGAUCUGUUAGAAAAUAGAGCACCCUGUCGGAACAUUAUGUGGUCAUGUAAGGCGAACUAAUUACUAAAAUGGUGCCAUCUACUAAGUCUGCAUAGAUUUUUCGAGAUCUUUUUCAGCUCCACCAACCUAGAUAGGUGCUUAUCCUUCCGCUGUAUGGUAGUGCCUUGUGCUGAAGCUUUUUGUUAUAACAGUACAGCAGUGGUGAGGUUUUUUUUUUAUUGCCAGCGCUAAAAUUGCAGGCUUCUAUGUCUCUUAUAUUGAUAGUUAGUUCUAAAGAGUUUGUGCAGCCGGUAGUCGGAACUGGAGUCUUUUGGAAUGACACGUUGUUUCUGUA